UUCUAUUAAUCUUUUUAAUACUCCCCCUCUCCCCCAUUUUUAAUAAAUAGCCCCCAUCCUGCUAAGGUAGCAUAAUCCUUAGUCUUUUAAAUAAACCCCUGUGCCAAAGAUUUAACAUCUUAGUUAAUUUCUUUAACUCCAUUCCUUAAACUUUUUUAAAAAUAAAAAGAUUCCUAUAACAAAGAAAGACGACCAGACCCUAUUGAACUUUACUUCAGGUUAACUGGGGCAGGUAAUUAAUUAUAAUUUUAAUUAAAUUUAAUAAAAAAAUAGACCUAUUUCAAAUAAUAAAAUGAUCAAGUUACCAUAGGGAUAACAGCAUAAUAAUUUUCUAAAGAACCCAUAACAAAAAAGGGAGAUGACCCCGAUGUUGAAUAAAUAUCUUUUUUUACGGAAUAGGUAAAACAAGAAAGGCGGGGCGACUUACAAAUCUUUACA
rnacentral:rRNA from 1 species